GAUUAACGCUGGCGGCGUGCAUAACACAUGCAAGUCGAACGAUCAAACUUAAAUGAUUUCUUCGGAAUGAACUUAAGUGGCUUAGUGGCGGCCGGGUGAUUAACUCGUGAGUAACCUGCCUUACACAAGGGGAUAGCCGUUGGAAACGACGAAUAAUACCCUAUGACACUAUCCCUUCGCAUGAAGCGAUAGUCCAAGUGUUAGCGGUGUAAGAUGGACUUGCGUCUGAUUAGCUAGUUGGUGAGAAAAAAGCCCACCAAGGCAACGAUCAGUAGCCGGAUUUAGAGCGUGUACGGGCACACUGGGACUGGGACACGGCCCAGACUCCUACGGGAGGCAGCAGUGGGGAAUGAUGCACAAUGGGGGAAAGCCUAAUGCAGCGACGCCGCGUGAUUCUGUAAGCAUUCGGGUUGUAAAAAUCUUUUGUAUAGGAAGAAAAUGACAGUACUAUACGAAUAAGGUCCGGCUAAUUACGUG
rnacentral:rRNA from 1 species